rnacentral:lncRNA from 1 species
AUAAUAUUGACCUUGAAAAAGACGAUAGUGUGAAAGCCGUCGUUGUAAAAAUUCGAGUAAACUGGAAUAUUACAGAUAAAGCCCAUGAGGUAUUAAAGUAAACAUCCACAACUCUCGAAAUCCUGCAAGGUAGGAUGAUUUUGAAUCAGUGAUUAGGUCUUAUCUGACCAAUUCUCGGAAACUACUAGCUUUAGCAGUAUUUUGGAGAAUCUAAAGCCUUAGCUUGUGUAUGGUCCAGACAUCACCGAGCACCCAAGUAUAAAUUAGCCUUACAAUUCUCUAACGGAAACUUAAUGACUUCAACUUAAGUUGCAUCUUGACCUAGGAUUUGGGCUGACUUAGUAAUUAAAACUUUGUGUGCUUUUGAAAUUCUUGGCAUUAAUGCAUUUGAAAUUAGAUUUUAUAAAACAAUAAAAUAAAUACUUUCGACAGCAGUUUGUGGGUACCUGAGCCAGAAACCCUCACGAGACAAAACUCGUCCGCUAGGGCCACCUAGGGGUUUAAAGCCUUAUUGCAUACGGUAAAUGCAAUCGCGAUUCUUGCGAAAGUGAGUUAGUUUUUUUUUUAUUUUGCUCGAGGACUAGCAAAAUGUAGGUUGGGGGGUGUGAUAAGUGCUAAAUAAUGCAUAAAUUAACCUUUUAUUCAUAGCACUUAUCAUUAUUUUAAUUUGCAUAUUUCGUAAAUUUAACCAUUAAAUAUGUGUUACCAUCAACAUUGCAUUUUAAUAAAUUAAUUUGAGUUUGAUUUAAUUAUUUAUUAAUUGAGCCUAAUGUAUGCAGGUCAAGUCAAAUUCAUUCUGAACCCAAAUCGCAUGCAGCCCCGAAAAUCAACCAGUGCCUUUCAUCCCACGUGUCUCCUCCUUUUUUUUUUUUUCCACGCUUUCAAAACAAAGCCAUCGUCACAGACAUCAUCCCAAACCUCCCAGCUAUCAGCCGUUCAUCCCAUUCCCUUCCAAAUCCAAGGAACAGAAACAUCCAUCGUCCAAGAUCUUCAUUCCAUUCUCUUUCCAGCCGAUUCUAGCUCUCUCUUCCAUCCUUAUCCAAUCACAAGAUAAACUUCCAGCAAACCUUAACAUCUGCAUCAAAGGAUCAAGUCUCCCCUAGCCGUGAGCUUCAUCCAAGAUCAUCCUUUGCUCCCAUGUCCAAAAAGAUAGAGCCAAAUCCAAGCUUUCCCACGCGUCUGGUUCACCUCCCCUGCUUCACCUCCAUAGCCGUUCGUUAGUCCAUAUCAAUCAUUCAUUCCAACUCCCUGGCUCCCACUUCUCCCUCGAGUUCGUUCCAGAUCAACCCCAUUCAACUGUGCCCGUGGAACAUCCCCCGUUUUCCAACCAUGAACAGCAUCCUCAACGUUCCCAACAUCUUCAUCUCCGCGUCAUCACAGAUUAUCCCACGUUCCAUUCUUUCUUCCCCUGCUUUAAAACAAAAUCCCCUGCAUCUCGGAUUACAUCCUUAUUUCGUAACUUCAUCAUCCCCUGUUACGUGUAUCUCCCAAGCUUCACGGCAUAGAACCAGAUCCCAACUUCUUUCGCUAGAUCACAGCGAGGAUGAGCCUUCCGAACUCCCAGAUUUCUUUCCAGCAUCCCAUGAAUCUAGCUUACAUUUUGUUGUGAUCCAUCUUCAUCCAAGUUCAUCCCAACAUCCACGUUUGAUCCCAGCUACAUCCAUUCGCAUCAGCCGUAUCCACUGAUCCCAAGCUUCAAUCGCAUCUCUCCCCUGUUCUAUGACAAUCAUCCAGAACCAAAUCUAGAUUAACACAUAAGAAUCCCAGCUCACGGUUCGUCAUUCCCUCUUCCGAAUCCUCCUCAUCUCCCCUUGUGGAGUGAUUGAUUAAAACCCC